rnacentral:rRNA from 1 species
UGGGGAAUUUUGCACAAUGGGGGAAACCCUGAUGCAGCGACGCCGCGUGAUUUAGAAGGCCUUCGGGUUGUAAAAAUCUUUUUUACGGGAUGAAAAUGACAGUACCGUAAGAAUAAGGUCCGGCUAAAUACGUGCCAGCAGCCGCGGUAAUACGUAUGGACCGAGCGUUGUCCGGAAUCAUUGGGCGUAAAGGGUACGUAGGCGGCCUAAUAAGUUAGAAGUGAAAGAAUAUAGCUCAACUAUAUAAAGCUUUUAAAACUGUUAGGCUUGAGGGAUGAAAGGGAAAGUGGAAUUCCUAGUGUAGCGGUGAAAUGCGCAGAUAUUAGGAAGAAUACCGGUGGCGAAGGCGACUUUCUGGUCAUCAUCUGACGCUGAGGUACGAAAGCGUGGGUAGCAAACAGG